UGACCCCAGAAGGCACACGCGGCUUACCGUGGCCUUCUAGGCCUGGCCGCCAUAAACCCGCCCGCCAACUGCUUCCCACCGACCCAGAAAGCACACCUCUUUGGGCGUUCCAACGCGGCGCCCCCUA
rnacentral:lncRNA from 1 species